CUACGGGUCGCAGCAGUGAGGAAUAUUGCACAAUGGGCGAAAGCCUGAUGCAGCGACGCCGCGUGGAGGAUGACGGUUUUCGGAUUGUAAACUCCUGUUAAGUGGGAAAAAAGACUUGCUAUGAAUAAGAGCGAGGGAUGAUUGUACCACUAAAGAAAGCACCGGCUAACUUCGUGCCAGCAGCCGCGGUAAUACGAGGGGUGUAAACGUUAUUCGGAAUCAUUGGGCGUAAAGGGUGUGUAGACGGCAAAUUAAGUCAAUUAUUAAAUCUCCUGGCUUAACUGGGAGCUUGUGGUUGAGACUGUUUUGCUAGAGGAUGGAAGAGAGAAGUGGAAUUCUCGGAGUAGCGGUAAAAUGCGUAGAUCUCGAGAGGAACACCGAUGGCGAAGGCAGCUUCUUGGUCCAUUUCUGACGUUGAGGCACGAAAGCGUGGGGAGCAAACAGGAUUAGAUACCCCCGUAGUC
rnacentral:rRNA from 1 species